GGGCUCACAUUGGCAAUACAUAUACUAAAAUUGGAACAAUGCAGAGAAGACUGGCAUGGCCUCUGCACGAGGAUGACACACAAAUUCAUCAAGUGUUCCGUGUUUUG